GCGGCUUAGUGUAAGGGUAACAUGCCCGUCUUCCUUUCUUUCUGAAAGGCAAUCAUAAGAUGGAUGUUUUCAGUUCAAAUCUGAAAGUCGCACCA
rnacentral:tRNA from 1 species